rnacentral:lncRNA from 1 species
CUGUGCAUGUGCAACACAUAUAGCUUCGCUUUGGCAUCUGCAUUCCUAAAUUGAAAUGUCGACUCAUCAUGUGAUACGUUUUGAAUGGAUUUCAUUUGAAUACACCACCUCUCUACAUAAAUGGUUAAUAAUAGUGGGAGUGUGAUGGUAUUAGAGACAGUUUAUGUCCUACAGUAUGACAUACAGUAUGUCUUUAAUAUAACCAUUGGAAUUAAAAAUUUGAAUUGGCUGAAUACUAUUGUUGAUUAUGUGAUGGCUUUACUCAUUCAGACGAACAUUUCUAAUUUGAUAAUGCAGAUUCUCACAAGUUACAUAUCACCAAAUGCUUUAGGGAUGAUAUAAACUUUUAUUAAUUCAAUGGCUUACAUACUCUUCAGAUAUCAGCCUUACAGAACAUCUUUGGGAUAUAGUGGAAAAGACUAUCCCUAAUAAGAUUAUGCCAUCAUCUAAUUUACAAUAACUGUGCAUUACAAUCAUUUUGUAUGACACAAUAUUCUGUAUAACACAUCAAGCAUCUUGUGGAAUCCAUGUCAAUAUGAAUUCAGACUGUUCUUAAGGCCAAAAGAGGUAAAAUAUAGUAAUAGAUAAGUGUAUCUAUAAACUCUGAUUAUAGUGAAUACUAAAUAUCAGAGUUUACACUAAUCAAUAUUCAUAUCAUACUAAUCAAAGUUUUUAUCUGUUUAUAGUUUACAUAUGAUCC